rnacentral:rRNA from 1 species
UACGAGGGGGGCAAGCGUUGUUCGGAAUUAUUGGGCGUAAAGGGCGCGUAGGCGGUCGGGUAAGUCUGAUGUGAAAUCCCACGGCUUAACCGUGGAAUUGCAUCUUAUACUGCUCGGCUAGAGUCUGGGAGAGGGAAGUGGAAUUCCGCGUGUAGCAGUGAAAUGCGUAGAUAUGCGGAGGAACACCGAUGGCGAAGGC